rnacentral:rRNA from 1 species
ACAAUGAAGAGUUUGAUCCUGGCUCAGGAUGAACGCUAGCUACAGGCUUAACACAUGCAAGUCGAGGGGCAUCAGGAAGAAAGCUUGCUUUCUUUGCUGGCGACCGGCGCACGGGUGAGUAACACGUAUCCAACCUGCCCUUUACUCGGGGAUAGCCUUUCGAAAGAAAGAUUAAUACCCGAUGGCAUAAUGAUUCCGCAUGGUUUCAUUAUUAAAGGAUUCCGGUAAAGGAUGGGGAUGCGUUCCAUUAGGUUGUUGGUGAGGUAACGGCUCACCAAGCCUUCGAUGGAUAGGGGUUCUGAGAGGAAGGUCCCCCACAUUGGAACUGAGACACGGUCCAAACUCCUACGGGAGGCAGCAGUGAGGAAUAUUGGUCAAUGGGCGCUAGCCUGAACCAGCCAAGUAGCGUGAAGGAUGAAGGCUCUAUGGGUCGUAAACUUCUUUUAUAUAAGAAUAAAGUGCAGUAUGUAUACUGUUUUGUAUGUAUUAUAUGAAUAAGGAUCGGCUAACUCCGUGCCAGCAGCCGCGGUAAUACGGAGGAUCCGAGCGUUAUCCGGAUUUAUUGGGUUUAAAGGGAGCGUAGGUGGACUGGUAAGUCAGUUGUGAAAGUUUGCGGCUCAACCGUAAAAUUGCAGUUGAUACUGUCAGUCUUGAGUACAGUAGAGGUGGGCGGAAUUCGUGGUGUAGCGGUGAAAUGCUUAGAUAUCACGAAGAACUCCGAUUGCGAAGGCAGCUCACUGGACUGCAACUGACACUGAUGCUCGAAAGUGUGGGUAUCAAACAGGAUUAGAUACCCUGGUAGUCCACACAGUAAACGAUGAAUACUCGCUGUUUGCGAUAUACAGUAAGCGGCCAAGCGAAAGCAUUAAGUAUUCCACCUGGGGAGUACGCCGGCAACGGUGAAACUCAAAGGAAUUGACGGGGGCCCGCACAAGCGGAGGAACAUGUGGUUUAAUUCGAUGAUACGCGAGGAACCUUACCCGGGCUUAAAUUGCAGUGGAAUGAUGUGGAAACAUGUCAGUGAGCAAUCACC